CUUAGCCAAGAGGUAAGGCAAUUGACUGCAACUCAGUGAGCGCCGGUUCAAAUCCGGCA
rnacentral:tRNA from 1 species